UACGGAGGGAGCUAGCGUUGUUCGGAAUUACUGGGCGUAAAGCGCACGUAGGCGGCUUUCUAAGUCAGGGGUGAAAUCCUGGAGCUCAACUCCAGAACUGCCUUUGAUACUGAGGAUCUCGAGUCCGGGAGAGGUGAGUGGAACUCCGAGUGUAGAGGUGAAAUUCGUAGAUAUUCGGAAGAACACCAGUGGCGAAGGCGGCUCACUGGCCCGGUACUGACGCUGAUGUGCGAAAGCGUGGGGAGCAAACAGG
rnacentral:rRNA from 1 species